UGCUGAUGUCUGUCAUACUC
rnacentral:miRNA from 1 species